rnacentral:rRNA from 1 species
AUGCAGUCGAGGGGUAACAUUGUGCUUGCACAGAUGACGACCGGCGCACGGGUGCGUAACGCGUAUAGAAUCUACCUCAUACUAGGGAAUAGCCUUUGGAAACGAAGAUUAAUGCCCUAUAGUAUGAUUACUUGGCAUCAAGUAAUCAUUAAAGGUUACGGUAUGAGAUGACUAUGCGUUCUAUUAGCUAGAUGGUGUGGUAACGGCACACCAUGGUCGAACGCAUAGAUAGGGGCCCUGAGAGGGGGAUCCCCCACACUGGUACUGAGACACGGACCACGCACUCCUACGGGAGGCAGCAGUGAGGAAUAUUGGACAAUGGAGGCAACUCUGAUCCAGCCAUGCCGCGUGCAGGAUGACUGCCCUAUGGGUUGUAAACUGCUUUUAUACAGGAAGAAACCUUUUCACGUGUGAGAAGCUGACGGUACUGUAAGAAUAAGGAUCGGCUAACUCCGUGCCAGCAGCCGCGGUAAUACGGAGGAUCCAAGCGUUAUCCGGAAUCAUUGGGUUUAAAGGGUCCGUAGGUGGAUAAUUAAGUCAGGGGUGAAAGUUUGCGGCUCAACCGUAAAAUUGCCUUUGAUACUGGUUAUCUUGAAUUAUUGUGAAGUGGUUAGAAUAUGUAGUGUAGCGGUGAAAUGCAUAGAUAUUACAUAGAAUAGCAAUUGCGAAGGCAGAUCACUAACAAUAUAUUGACACUGAUGGACGAAAGCGUGGGGAGCGAACAGGAUUAGAUACCCUGGUAGUCCACGCCGUAAACGAUGGUCACUAGCUGUUCGAACUUCGGUUUGAGUGGCUAAGCGAAGAUGAUAAGUGACCCACCUGGGGAGUACGUUCGCACGAAUGAAACUCACAGGAAUUGACGGGUGCCGCACAAGCGCUGGAGCAUGUGGUUAAUUCGAU